UGUAGGUUUAGGUUUAGGGAUUUGAGAAUACAUUUAGGUUUUAGGUUUAGGUUAUAGGUUAAGGUUUAGGUUUUAGGUUUAGGUUAAGGUUAGGUUAUAGGUUAUAAGUUGAGGUUUUGGUUUAGGUUAAGGUUAUAGGUUUAGGUUAAGGUUUAGGUUUAUGUUUAUGUUAAGGUUUAGGUUUAGAUUAUAAGCUAU